UACCUGGGCCCCGAGUGGUGACCGCUAUUAUUAGGUUUAAAGCGUUCGUAGCCGGUUUGCUAAGUCCCUAAUGAAAUUCGGCAGCUAACUGUCGAAAUUGUUGGGGAUACUGGCAGGCUUGAGACCGGGAGAGGUAGAGGGUAUUCUUGGGGUAAGGGUAAAAUGGGAUAAUCCCCGGCAGACAACCGAUGGCGAAGGCAUCUGACCAGAACGGCUCUGACGGUGAGGGACGAAAGCCAGGGGAGCGAACCGG
rnacentral:rRNA from 1 species